UAGGGAAUCUUCCGCAAUGGACGAAAGUCUGACGGAGCAACGCCGCGUGAGUGAAGAAGGAUUUCGGUUCGUAAAACUCUGUUGUUAGGGAAGAAAAAAUGUAUAGUAACUAUAUACAAAAGAGACGGUACCUAACCAGAAAGCCACUGCUAACUACGUGCCAGCAGCCGCGGUAAUACGUAGGUGGCAAGCGUUGUCCGGAAUUAUUGGGCGUAAAGCGCGCGCAGGUGGUUUAGAAAGUCUGAUGUGAAAGCCCACGGCUCAACCGUUGAGGGUCAUUGGAAACUAAUAAACUUGAGUGCAGGAGAGAAAAGUGGAAUUCCUAGUGUAGCGGUGAAAUGCGUAGAGAUUAGGAGGAACACCGGUGGCGAAAGCGGCUUUUUGGCCUGCAACUGACACUGAGGCGCGAAAGCGUGGGGAGCAAACAGG
rnacentral:rRNA from 1 species